rnacentral:rRNA from 1 species
AACGAACGCUGGCGGCAGGCUUAACACAUGCAAGUCGAGCGCCCACUUCGGUGGGAGCGGCAGACGGGUGAGUAACGCGUGGGAAUCUACCUAGCUCUACGGAACAACCCAGGGAAACUUGGGCUAAUACCGUAUACGUCCUUCGGGAGAAAGAUUUAUCGGAGUUGGAUGAGCCCGCGUUGGAUUAGCUAGUUGGUGGGGUAAUGGCCUACCAAGGCGACGAUCCAUAGCUGGUCUGAGAGGAUGAUCAGCCACAUUGGGACUGAGACACGGCCCAAACUCCUACGGGAGGCAGCAGUGGGGAAUAUUGGACAAUGGGCGCAAGCCUGAUCCAGCCAUGCCGCGUGAGUGAUGAAGGCCCUAGGGUUGUAAAGCUCUUUCAACGGUGAAGAUAAUGACGGUAACCGUAGAAGAAGCCCCGGCUAACUUCGUGCCAGCCGCCGCCGUAAGAC